rnacentral:rRNA from 1 species
AUGACCUGGGCCGUGGGCAUCAUCCCGGUCCACCGCGAUGUCUGGGCUGGGAGGAGUGGAAGACGCCGCCAUUUCGCUUUCCUUGGUUUCCAUCUGCUGUCUUCCGAGGAAAACCCCCGGUCGUUCCGUGUGGUCUGCGUCUGCGCUGAUAAGCAGAGAGUUCGCGUCGCCGUCUUCUCGCCGGAGGCGAGGGAUUGGGCCGUCCACCCGUGGGUGCACGUCGGCGGUGACAACAGCCUAAAGUCCAGCGCCGGCACGCUGGUGAGUGGUUCCGUUUACUGGCCUUUCCACGGUGAAGGGCGCAUGAUAAAGAUCAACACAGCCACCAUGGAUAUCUCUUUUGUGGAUUUACCCUUGCAAAUCAAGGUGGAAGGAUCCAAUUUCAGGGCUGGGGAGACCAAGGAUGGCCAACUAUGCAUUGUCUAUGCAUCUGAUGAUUUCCUCCUCCGUGCUUGGACCCGUAGUCUGGACGCCCAUGGAAUCGAGGUCUGGGUGCUGGAGAACAUAAUCUCUUUGAGUGAAGGAAUUGAUGAGAUCACUGAGGGGUGUGUUCUGGACUUGCCGGUCGACCUCAAAGUUGUGCAAGUUAGGUCUGGAUACGUGUACUUGUCCGCGACAUGCAUGACCCAUCCUGGCACACUCCGCUGCUGGUUCAUCUCCGUUUCACUGGAGACCAUCGAGCAUGAGUUACUGGUUGAUGGGUGUUUUGGUGGGUCUGUCUGUCCGUAUAGCAUGGCCUGGCCUCCUUGUUUGGUUGGUGAUGAUGGGAGCAUUGGGCAUGAAGUUGAAGGUUCUCACUGA